rnacentral:rRNA from 1 species
UACGGGGGGAGCAAGCGUUGUUCGGAUUUACUGGGCGUAAAGGGCGCGUAGGCGGUCAGCACAAGUCAAUUGUGAAAUCUCCGAGCUUAACUCGGAAAGGUCAACUGAAACUGUGCGACUAGAGUGCGGAAGGGGCAACUGGAAUUCUUGGUGUAGCGGUGAAAUGCGUAGAUAUCAAGAGGAACACCUGCGGCGAAGGCGGGUUGCUGGGCCGACACUGACGCUGAAGCGCGAAAGCCAGGGGAGCAAACGGG